rnacentral:rRNA from 1 species
AGAGUUUGAUCAUGGCUCAGAACGAACGCUGGCGGCGUGCUUAACACAUGCAAGUCGAACGAGAAAGUUCUUUCGGGAACGAGUAAAGUGGCGCACGGGUCCGUAACACGUGGAUAACCUACCUCAUUGUGGGGGAUAACUGACCGAAAGGUCCGCUAAUACCCUAUAUGACCACAGUACCUCAGGGUACAGGGGUAAAAGGUGGCCUCUCUUUAGAAGCUAUCGCAUUGAGAUGGGUCUGCGCACCAUUAGCUUGUUGGUAGGGUAAAAGCCUACCAAGGCCAAGAUGGUUAGCUGGUCUGAGAGGAUGAUCAGCGACACUGAAACUGAGAUACGGUCCAGACUCCUACGGGAGGCAGCAGUGGGGAAUAUUGGACAAUGGACGAAAGUCUGAUCCAGCAACGCCGCGUGAGUGAUGAAGGCCUUAGGGUUGUAAAGCUCUGUCAGUUGGGACGAAAAAAUUCAACUUAAUACGUUGAAUCUUGACGGUACCUUCAAAGGAAGCACCGGCUAACUCUGUGCCAGCAGCCGCGGUAAUACAGAGGGUGCAAGCGUUGUUCGGAAUUACUGGGCGUAAAGAGUAUGUAGGCGGCGAAGUUUGUCUGAUGUGAAAUACCCUGGCUUAACCAGGGAACUGCAUUGGAAACUGCUUUGCUAGAGUGUGAGAGAGGAUAGUGGAAUUCCUAGUGUAGAGGUGAAAUUCGUAGAUACUAGGAGGAACACCAGAGGCGAAGGCGGCUAUCUGGAUCACCACUGACGCUGAGAUACGAAAGCGUGGGUAGCAAACAGGAUUAGAUACCCUGGUAGUCCACGCCGUAAACGAUGAUAACUAGACGUCGGAGGUAUUGACCC